CCCUUAGAUGUUCUGGGCUGCACGCGCGCUACACUGAAGCGUUCAACGAGUAUUCACCUUGCCCGGGAGGGUCGGGUAAUCUUUUGAAAACGCUUCGUGAUGGGGAUAGAUUAUUGCAAUUAUUAAUCUUCAACGAGGAAUUCCUAGUAAGCGCAAGUCAUCAGCUUGCAUUGAUUACGUCCCUGCCCUUUGUACACACCGCCCGUCGCUCCUACCGAUUGAAUGUUCCGAUGAAUACCAUGGACUGAGAGUAUGAAUGGGUUCGCCUAUUUCUGCUUCUCGGGAAGUGGAGUAAAUCUUAACAUUUAGAGGAAGGAGAAGUCGUAACA
rnacentral:rRNA from 1 species